rnacentral:misc_RNA from 1 species
CCAAUGGUAAAACGGCAUUACAUGAGGCAAUAGUGCUGCACUUCGAAGAUAACGACUUCACAGAUGAAGGGCAGAGGAAGUCGUUGUGGGAGAAAUACAGAUCCUUAUACGGCAAAAAAAAUGAGGAAGAUGACAAUCAAUCAUACACGGAGCUUGUGAUACCACGCAUGCUAUUGUAUGAAAUGGGAAGCUUGACCAAAGUAACAGAUGAAAAGGGAUGGACUCCACUUCACUAUGCUACUUAUAAAGGUCAUACUUCAGUGGUCGAACAACUAUUAGAUAAGGAUCAAUCUUCUGCUUACGUUGUCGACAAAGAUUGGAAGAGGACAGCUCUUCACAUUGCAGCCUGUAGAGGCU